CAGAGAUAUAAUACUAAAAAGUGCGUUUGAAACCUAUGUUUUAUUUCAGCCAUGUGGACAGGCAGGGUCAUCAUACACAGUGGUCCCUGGAUAUCCUAGUGGUGAUUUAAACAAAGUUUGUUUAAAUUUGACAGAUGUUUCAGGGGAGAAUUUUUGUAAAAUUUAUCUAACGAGAAAUGCAAAGUAAUAAGAGAAACUUGUGAAGUUGUUUUGUUGUUGCGCAACCCCCCCCC
rnacentral:lncRNA from 1 species